GCAUAGCAACAUAAUUUGUAGGUUUAGACUUUGAAAUGAUUGAACUAGAAUUCUCAUCUUGAUUCUUUUAAGAAAACUCCUGCAAGUAAUCCUUUUUUCUUGAGCUCUAACCAUGUUCAUAGCCUCAAACAAUCUCUGAGGUGUAUUGAACAACAAUUCCUCCUUGAUUUCUGAUUUUAACCUGGCUAUAAACAAGGUUACCAAAGUA
rnacentral:lncRNA from 1 species